UUUUUUUUAUGUGUUCAGUACUAGUACACAUUCUUCAUCUUUGGUUGCCGAGCUAGGGAUUGAUGUCGUGAUUAGUACUAGAUGAACAAACAAAUAAUAUUUGGAUAAUUUAAUACAUGAGCUUGCAUUCAUCAGAGUUAAGUAUUCCCGAGGGGAAAUGACACUUUUCAUGGUUGAAUUAGUUGCAUGAGAGGCUGGUUAAGCUCAACUAAAAUUUUAGGCUCAACUAAAAUUGAGGGAGUGCUUGAAAGCUCAUUCUUUUUCUUGAGAUAUCAUAGUCUGAGACUGUGGCAUUGUUUUUAUGUAGGAGGAGGUAGCAUGUGCGAAGAGUACAAGGACGUGGACGUGGUGAGCACCAUGUCGGGAUCUUCGUCCUCACUGGACACCGGGAGCGGACACCGGUCGCGAGACUCCCACCCCAUGGGCUCGAGGUUCAGGGUGCCCGAGGAGGACUCGUGCGAUGCCGAGAGCGUGGCGUCCAACUUCGAGUUCCAUAAGGAGCGAGGGGCCUCCGCUCGGUCUGCGCCCACGGCGGUGGUCGCACCGUUCUCCAAGCCCCCGCCGUCGAAGUGGGAUGAUGCCCAGAAAUGGAUCGCCAGCCCGACGACGAACCGUCCUGGUAGGGCCGGUGGAGCUUUCCCAAGGAAGAUGGAGAAAACUGGCUUUGGUGGAGGAAGGCUGCCGGCCACGAAGGUUGUGCUGGAGGCCAUGGAGGAAAUAGAUACCAAGAGGAUCGAUCCGAGCCAAGAGAAGAGGGAGAUUGGGUGGCAGAAAGCGGCGAACUGGGCCACGCCGGAUCCCUAUCCAGAAGUGGAGCCUUGCUCAAAGUCUGCACCUGGUGCAGAAAGUACCAUAAUUGAUUCAGCUGGUAAGUAGUGCCCUCUUUAUGUCAUCAUACCCCAGCUCCUCCACUUCUCAUAAAGUAGUUGGUGGUGCUAUAUGUGAUCUGAUUAGUUCUACCGCUAAGAUAUGAUUGCAUCGCCUCUUACCAUUAGCUGAGUGGAGCAUUAGAACAUGGAGGGCUCCACACAUUAUCUGUAUGACAGUUCUUCCAGUAUCAUUCAAAGUGAUAAUUAUUAAUUUGACAGUGCUUGUUAGCAAUCCAAAACUUUAGUGAACACUGAACACAAUGCAUGCAUAGACGAAUGCAGAUAGUUUAGUUUGUUUGUUUCUUUAGAUAGAGCCCUCAGCCUCAGGUGAUGCAAGAAUAUGAGCAAGACUGUCCUUGCCAGAUUUUGUGAUAGCAUAGUUUCAUCAGUCUUCCAUAAUUCACCGUGUACAUAUGUCUAUACACUAUGUUUUGGCUUCAUAAUUCACCAUGCACAUAUGUCUAUACAGUAUGUUUUGGCUUCAUAAUUCACCAUAAUAAGGUCUUAUAUUAUGGGACCAAGGGAAUAGGUCAUAACUGACAAACACCUUUCUCACCUUUUCCACAUCCUAUGUAUUUGCAUGCUUUCUUCUGGAAACUUAAAAAAAAAUCAUGACACGAGUGCAUCAUUUUUGAACCUGUGCAGUUACUUUGAGCUGUGAUUCAUCUACCACGCUUCAGAGUGCCACUGCAUGCAUACCUCCCCCACCAACAGUCCGGUCAGUAUCGAUGAGGGAUAUGGGUACUGAAAUGACCCCAAUUGCAAGCCAAGAACCAUCCCGGACAGGAACGCCUGUGAGAGCAACAAGCCCGGAUUGCUCUCGGCCAACUACUCCACGAAGGACAUUGGGUAUCAAUGCACCUGGCGCUGUUAUCAACCGCGGUGAAUGUAGCAAUGCAGAUUUAAGCGAAGAGGAGUUGCAAAUGAAGACCAGGAGAGAGAUAAUGCUUCUUGGCACCCAGCUAGGUAAAACCAGCAUUGCGGCAUGGGCAAGUAAGAAGGAAGAGGAAAAAGACGCAUCACUUUCUCUCAAGACAGUGUCAUCAGACCAAUCUGCACAAAAUGCAACCGAAGUCCGUGCAGCUGCCUGGGAGGAGGCAGAGAAGGCCAAAUACUUAGCAAGGUGCUAAUACCUAAGUGUAUGUCUCUGUCCAGUUAAAUUGUUGGGUACUUGGUGACUUAUUAUGUUGCGGCCCUUAUUCUGCAGGUUUAAACGAGAAGAGAUCAAGAUUCAUGCAUGGGAAGAUCACCAGAAAGCCAAAAUUGAAGCAGAAAUGAGAAAAAUUGAGGUUAGUUUUUUUACCCACUGUCCGAUUUCAGAUUUAUUUAUUUCGUCUAAUUUUUUUCCGCAGAAAAUGUUCAUUUUACCACUUGAUUUCCAUGUUGUAUAGACAUGAGGUAAUCCUAAAUUGGAACCAUUAGUGUGUUACGCUGUUGGUAUGAUUAGUAAUAUACAUCGUGUUUCAGACGCACGCAGACUCCUUUGGCAUAUGAACUCUAUCUAAAUUCACAGCACAUCCCUUUAGAUCAUGUUCCCCCCUGGUUAGCAGUUAUUUAUAGCUCACUGAAUUAUUGCUCACUGCUUUGUGCUGCAUUGCUAUCUUGGAUUUGCAGCAGUAUUGUGCUCAAAACAGAAAAAUAGUAGAAUAAUGCCUUCAUUUCAGAUCAAAAUAUAGCACAUGAUGACACCUAGCCCCACUUCUUACCCGCACUGGCACCAUUAUCUCCCUGUCAUUUUGGGUAUGGCAUAAAAGUAUCUUUUAUUCCACUCGGAUGGAGUAGGUUUACUUGCUUGCUUGAGUUCUUGCUGCUACAAGUGCUGUCAUUUUGGUCAGAUUUUGCUGUAUAUGCCUCUGAGACCUGGAUGUCUUUUUGUUUUCGUUGUGGAGGCACCAUCUGUCCAUGUUUGAAAUAGGUCCACUGUCCAUAUUAAUGAAUCUACCAUUGUUCCUUUUUCUCAAGGUCGAGGUGGAGAGGAUGCGAGCCCGUGCGCAGGACAAGCUGAUGAGCAAGCUCGCGUCCACGAGGCACACCGCGGACGAGCAGCGAGCUGCCGCCGAAUUGAAGAGGGACCGCAGCGCCGCGAGGACGGCGGAGCAGGCAGAGCACAUCAGGAGAACCGGGCGGAUGCCGCCCUCGCUCGGCUGCUGGAACUGGUGCUCUUAGUUGCAGGCCUGGAAAAACCCAGCAUGUGUUGCUCCUCUCAACUAGUGAAGGAAAUGGAUCUGGCCCGUAGAAUCUUCUUCUCUUUUGAUUGGUUCAGUAGAUAUGUGACGCGAGGACAGAUCACAAGUUGUAACUAUGUAUGUAUGUGUAAGAUGCGAGCUUUCGUGCCUUCCAUUUCUUGCGUUCUUCAGUGAUCCUGAGGGUUUAUGUUCCCAUAGAGGUAGCAACGUUGCUUCCAGCUGGGAUGGUAAUAGAAACAUGAGCCUUUCAGCUUUCAUAUGUUCAGAUUCACCUGGGGGCAGCACUUGUCUUGUAGUUGAGAUGCAUAGAAAAACACUAGUGGUAAAAGAGCAAGUGUUGGUUACUGGAGAUUGUAAACACAACAACCAGGCCAAACAAAGAUCAAAUAGAUAAUGAAUUUUCAGUCUGAAACUAGAAUCUUUCCAGGUAAUCAGAAUCACAAGAUGACAGCAACCAUGCAUGUUUAAUUAAGGACUUUGAUAAGUGCCACACGUUAAGUACGAGCACAUGGCAACUCCAAACGUUUUCGAUGACCAGUUUAGUUACGUAAGGAUGACAACUUUAGUUGGCAGGCAUGGCAACUUUUGUGCUUCCGUUUAUUUUUGACAGAACUUGCCGUGUGUCACUGGAAUUUGCCAUCCUUGUGUGACUGGAAUUGCCACUGAAAAACGUCAGGGCCGGAGCGCCAAGCGUGACUGGAAUUGCCAUUGAAAAACGUCAGGGCCGGAGCGCCAAGCACCUGACGUGUGGCACUUAUCAUUUGGGUUAAUUAACUCCAUACAUCUGAAGAUUGACACUGAUGUCUUAUGAUAAUAGCAAUAGGAGGAGAUAAUAUGAAGAUUAAACAUAUCACCAAAGUAAGCUAUCAGUAGCUAGCACAUUUUGAGACUGAAAAAUGACACAUGGAGGAGAGGGGAUGGAGAAUCUCCAGCUCCAUCUCCAUGUCUAUUGGAGGAACACAAGAACAGCAAAAAGGAACAUAUAUGGUGCUACUCUAACUUCUUGAUGACAAACAGAUGACUAAUUUUUAGUCUGAAACCAGAUUCUUUCCUGGUGAUCAAAAUCACAAGAUGAUAGCGCAACAAGGUUUAAUCAACUGUCUUAUGAUCAUAGCAUAGGAGGGGAAUGUCAAGAUUAAACAGCACCAACCUAGGUUAACAACAGCAGCUACUACAUUUUCCCCAAGACAGCACAGUAACAGGGUUUAAUUCACUGCAUAUAUAUAUAUAUUUUUUUUGAGGAAAUUCACUGCAUACAUUUGAGAUUGAUACCGACGUCUUAUGAUCAUAGCACAUGAGGGCAUAAUGUGAAGAUUAAACAUUACCAAACUAAGCUAACAGUAGCGUGUAUGUCUUGAGACUGAUAAAUGACACAUGAAGGGGAGGGGAGGGAGACGAAUCUCCAUCUCCAUGUUCAUGUCCAUUGGAGGAACAAGAGCAACAAGCAGGCUUAUGGGUAGCAGGUACUCAAACGUCUUGACGAGUGAGAGGUCGUUGUGCAUCUUGAAAUUUGGGCAACAAGUGGGGAUCAAACAGACAACGAAUUUUGAGCCAGAAACAAAUUUUUCCAGAUGAUCAAAAUCCACAUAAAGAUGGAAGCAAUUUUUCUCAAGACAGCACAACAACAAGGUUGAAUUAACUCCAUACAUUUUAGACUGACACUGGUACCUCAUGAGCAUAAUACAGAUAAACACCGGCAAGGGCACAAAUGUUUCCUUCUGGAGAUUGUACAAGCAGGACAAACAGAUGAACUAAUUUUCAGUCUGAAACCAAAUUCUUUCCAGAUGAUCCAAACCACAAGACGAUGGCUAGCAACAAGGUUUAAUCAACCCCACCUUAUGAUCAUAGCAUAGGAGGGGUAUGUGAAGAAGAUUAAACAGCAAACCCAAGUUAACAACAGCAACUUCAUUGUUCUCCAAGACAGCAUAGCAACAAGGUUUAAUUAACUCCAUUCAUUUGAGACUGACACUGAUGUCUUAUGAUCAUAGCGCAAUAAAAGGAGAUAAUCUGAAGCUUAAACAUAUCACUGGAGGAAGACAAGAAGAGCAUAUUAUGGGGGCUACUACUCGAACUUCUUGAUGAGGGAGAGGUCGUUGAGCAUCUUGUCGACCCGGUCGUCGCUGUCGAACCUGCCGCCGGGGACGAGGGAGGGGACGAGCGCCUUGGCCUCGUCGGCGGUGUCGGGGCAGAGGUUCCCGAGGGUGCAGAGCUCGAACUCGACGAGGCUGUAGCGGGAGAGCGUCUCGCGGACCUGGCGGACCGCGUCGGGGUUCUUGUAGCGGCUGAAGCGCUUGACGUAGGCCUGCGACUUCUCGAAGACCUGCGAGACCUGGUCGGCGCCGCCGUCCGACAUGUGCUGCAGCUGCUCCCACUUGUGCUCCAGGAUUAUCGCCACCUCGCAGUUCAUCAGGCACUUGGCCUUCAG
rnacentral:lncRNA from 1 species